rnacentral:rRNA from 1 species
UACGUAGGGUGCAAGCGUUAUCCGGAAUCAUUGGGCGUAAAGGGUGUGUAGGUGGUCGCAUUAGUCUUUUGUUAAAUUUCCCGGCUUAACCGGGAACCUGCGAAGGAAACGGUGCGACUAGAGGAUGCAAGGGGUCUGCGGAACUCAUAGUGUAGCGGUGAAAUGCGUUGAUAUUAUGGGGAACACCAAAAGCGAAGGCAGCAGACUAGGGCACUCCUGACACUGAAACACGAAAGCGUGGGUAGCGAAUGGGAUUAGAUACCCCAGUAGU